UCUCUCUCUCUGUGUGUGUGUGUUUUUGUCCUGUCUGUCUGUCUGUUCCUUCUCAUAUCCCAAUGGACUCUUGUAGACCCCUCUCGGUCCCAAAACAGAGAUGUAGUGUUUUCAUUUUAACAACUAGAUCAUUGUUAUGUCAUCAGAGACAAUUACUACUGAGGGAUAUGAUUUUGUUGAUUACAGCAUUACUUUGUAAGGAAUCAAGAAGGAAGACAAGAUAUUUAAUCAGGGACAGUUAGAAGACUCUUUAAAAACAGACAUUCAUCUUUUAAGAUAACAAUCACAUGUACAUCUUUUGUGUACUCUUUCUGGCCAUUUUAAUAGCUCUGUAUGUUUUAACCCUUGAACCUUUACCUCCAUUACAGUAAUGAUAAUGAUACCAGUUUCAUGACUAUUUUCUCUAUCCAGUCAUAGCCUUGCAGGGUUAAAACAUUUCACAUACUGUAUCCUUUGGCCUUAGGUGGUUCUCACAUGCAGGUGACUGACCACUGAUUAACUUGGUGAUGGAAGGAUGUAUAUAGACCUGAGGGAAAAGCACCUUAGAUGGAUAAUCAAUAGUUAUAAUUUAGUUUAUUCAGGAACACAGAUAAUAUAACAAUGUGAUUCUUAUUCUAUAGAUUAGGAAGCAAGGCACAGAGGAGAUGGAAUUCCUCAAGAGAAAGUCAAGGCUAGGCAUGAAAGAGUUUUAAUUCUUAGUUCUAUAAUUUUCUUUUUGAUCUGUCUAAAUGGAAUUCAUGGUAGAGAAAAAAAGAGUUGUUUUUAGAUUAUAUAGGGGAAAUACCAGGCAAAUAAGCCACAUGUAUGUAGGCUGUAUUAUGCCGCACGCGAAUUCUUUCUGGCAUGCUUUAGUAUGAUGUAAUGGAGAGACAUAGUUGUGCUCAAUCUAAGACUUACGAUUCUUAUGGUGCUUACUGAAGAAGACUGAAGAAAUGAAUCACUUCAGAAAAGAGUAUAAAAAGGCAAGGUUUGGCUGGUAAUAUCACACAAUGCUUUUAUCAAUAGGCCAUAUUUGGACAAAUGCCCAAUCUACAUUUACAUUCAACAAUUUUUGAAAAGUUGAAUGAGUAAACUCCACAUUGUAUACGCAAAACAGUAUUUGACAACCAUUAAAGCAUCAAGCCAUUUUUUCUUAUUAUUCUUUAUAGAUUCUUUUUUAACCAUUUUUUUCUUCUUUGAGACAGUGAGAGGGGGACAAACUUUGUUAAGGUUGAAUGAUUGAUUAGUCAACUGGUAGUUUAAAAGAAGAUAGUUUGAAUGAAGGAUUGCAGCAGGAGGAAGUUAGCCUGAUAAAAAUCAAUCAAUUCACACCUAUGACACAUUUCUAAGUCAGAACUGAAAAUCAAGAUUUCAUUAGUUCCUAGAAAGUCAAGAUCAAUUAAGCCAAUUGUUGUCUUUUUUCUCCCCUUUGAAAAGGCACAAGGGGAGGUCAAUGGGAGAGUCUGAAGAGAAGCAUCAAGAGGUCUUGGUUCAAAGCAAACUGGAAAAUGACGUCUGCAUAUAAUUCAGAGGUCAGCUGACUGUGGGAGCAAAGCCCCAACAGAUACAUCGAUGGCUGAACCCAAGACUCACAAUACCUUGUGGUAGAAGGGGCUUCACCAGAACUGUGAAGAAUCAGGCAACCAGGAAGUCUGCUUGAGAUCGUGUUUCCAAGGAAUAACGGGAGAGGUACAUCAAUGAUACCUCAACUAUAUGGAUGCCUAACAAGACUAGAACAGAGACAAUUUCAACAAACCUGCUAGGGCUGCUGGUGUGUAUUUGCUGAGUAUUAGCCCAAAUAAUCUUCCCGAUGGAAUAUGAUUACCAGCAUUGAACGUGGAGCUUUCCAUGAUAUGAUUUAGAGUUGAGUGGACCUUUGCCAGCCUUCAGCUACCUGCAACACAGAGUCUCCUGUACAUAAGACUCCU
rnacentral:sRNA from 1 species